rnacentral:rRNA from 1 species
UACGGAGGGUGCAAGCGUUAUCCGGAUUCACUGGGUUUAAAGGGUGCGUAGGUGGGUAGGUAAGUCAGUGGUGAAAUCUCCGGGCUUAACCCGGAAACUGCCGUUGAUACUAUUUGUCUUGAAUAUUGUGGAGGUAAGCGGAAUAUGUCAUGUAGCGGUGAAAUGCUUAGAUAUGACAUAGAACACCAAUUGCGAAGGCAGCUUCCUGCACAAUGAUUGACACUGAGGCACGAAAGCGUGGGGAUCAAACAGG